rnacentral:tRNA from 1 species
GCGGGAAUAGCUCAGUUGGUAGAGCACAACCUUGCCAAGGUUGGGGUCG